GCUAACCGCCCCGCCCCCCCGUCCCCAGGAACCGGAAGUUCCCUUAUCGCUCCCAUCGUCCCGCCUGCACUCGUAGCUGCCGGCUGGCCGGGCCGGGGCGGCCAUGAGCAAGCGGAAGGCGCCGCAGGAGAGCCCCAAUGCGGGGAUCACAGACUUCCUGAGCGAACUGGCAAACUAUGAGAAGAAUGUGAAUCGAGCUAUCCACAAGUACAAUGCGUACAGAAAAGCAGCUUCUGUAAUAUCCAAGUAUCCAAGCAAGAUAAAAAGUGGAGCUGAAGCAAAGAAGCUGGAAGGAGUAGGGACUAAAAUCGCUGAGAAGAUUGAUGAGUUUUUAUCCACUGGAAAACUACGUAAGCUUGAAAAGAUUCGACAGGAUGAUACAAGCUCAUCUAUCAAUUUCCUGACCCGAGUUAGUGGCAUAGGUCCUUCUGCAGCUAGGAAGUUUGUGGAUGAAGGGAUAAAGACAUUGGAAGAUCUAAAGAAAAAUGAACACAAGCUAAAUCAUCAUCAGCGAAUUGGGCUAAAAUAUUUUGAAGACUUCGAGCAAAGAAUACCUAGAGAAGAGAUGUUACAGAUGCAGGAAAUUGUAUUGAAAGAGGUUAAAAAACUGGACCCCGAAUAUAUUGCUACAGUCUGUGGCAGUUUCAGGCGAGGUGCGGAAUCAAGUGGGGAUAUGGAUGUUCUCCUGACCCAUCCAAGUUUAACUUCUGAAUCAACCAAACAGGUCUUAAAGAGGAAUGAGGUACCUUUUUGUAUGGAGCGAACCAACAGAAUAGGAAACAAAUCUCCCACGCCAAAGCUUUUGCACCAAGUUGUAGAACAACUGAAAAAAAUCCACUUUGUCACAGACACAUUGUCAAAGGGUGAUACGAAAUUCAUGGGUGUAUGUCAGUUGCCAAGCAAAGAAGAUGGAACCAAUUUUCUAUACAGGAGAAUUGAUAUCAGGCUGAUCCCCAAGGAUCAGUAUUAUUGUGGGGUACUAUACUUCACAGGCAGUGACAUAUUCAAUAAGAACAUGAGAACUCGUGCCCUGGAAAUGGGCUUCACAAUCAACGAGUACACAAUCCGGCCCUUGGGAGUUACUGGAGUUGCUGGGGAGCCCCUCCCAGUAGAGAGUGAAAAGGAUAUCUUUGAUUACAUACAGUGGAAGUAUCGAGAGCCAAAAGAACGGAGUGAAUAACUUGCAUUCAAAGUUUCGCUAGCUAGUGCUCACUUAUUUUGUAGCUUUUAUGAAUAAUCAGCGGAGUCAAAACUAGGUGCAUAUUUAUUGCUUGAACAUUACUUCAGAAGCUUCUUUGGCAGAUGUUUAAGCGAGAUCGUUGUGGCAGCCCAGUGAGCGGUGGUCGGCAAGACAAACCAGGGCCACAAUCACAGCGUUGGAAAAUUUCUGGACCUUGAGCAAUAUCUUUGUGUCCCCGGCGGGAACAGACCAGUCCUUCACGGAGAACUGGCUUACAGAUUUUGGUCCAGAAAUGGCGAGCGCAGCAAAGCCCAAAGGCACAAUCUGAUGUGCGAAGGCAGCUUUCUCCCUCUCGACCUGCAAUGCCUCAUGGUAAAGAUAGUUGCUUGUUUUAAAGAAAUGCUGGAGAGCUCGAUGAUCUCAACAUUAGCAGGAGGUCCCCAACUGACCCCCAGUGCUCUCACCUUUCUGGUGCCCUGCACUUCAGCUGAACUCUUGAUGCUGUUGUAGUCUAGGACCAGGGCUACCAAUGGGGAACAGACGCAGCUGAGCCCCAGCAGCAAGACUGCCACCAUUCUUCAGGCAGGUUGAUCUGUGUUUCCCCCUGUGAGUUCUACAGCGCUUACCCGUUAUCUAAGAUGUGCAAAGCUUGAAAACAACACAGAUUCAGCAAAUAUGGGAUAUUUGUGAAUCUUUUUAAAAGAAAAAAUCUUGAAUAAAAGUCCUUUUCUUAUAUUUUACAUCUCUAACCUAAGAGAAAAAUCUGUGGAGAGGAGCUCUGUCCUUCCUGGGGUAUUUAUAGCCAAGUUUGCUGUCCUUUCCAUCCCCUCCUCUCCUCAUUUCCUUUCUCUUCAGCCCACACAGACUUCAACAAAUCUCUUCAAAUCUGUUUGAUCAAUAGUUCAAAACAAGGAUUCACUAAAAUGAGCAAGGAGGUAGGGCGGCAGCAGCUACCUCUCCUCAGGGGCUGAGCCACUCCUAAUUAUUGUAUAUCAAAGUUAGUUCAAAGGGACAGCAGAAGAGCAGGAUGUUUGUAUCAAAGGCAGACAUUGCUAAUCACCUGAAUUUCCUACCCUCCUUAAUCCCUUUGCAAAAUGUUUUUUUCCAAGAUCUGUUUUCACAGCUAAUUGUGCUCCAAGAAAGAGUGAGUGAUUCAUGUGGGCCAGUCUGCCAAUUACUAAACAUUUAUCCCUGGUAUGUUGGGAAUAUAGAAAAAACUGUCUGGUUAGCUCUGGCAUCCAGUCACAAUUAUCACUUAGUUCAAGGCAGCUGCCAAAAUAAUCUCUGCUCAAGUCAGAUGUGUUUGGGAAAGCUUUCUUGCUUCCUGUAGUGGAAUAAAACUGUUUGAAGCUAGUGUUCAUUCAGAAAACUAGGAUAUGUAUCUGCUUUGAUCCUGACUCAAGUUGGGGGCGGGGGGUACUAGUAGUAAAAUCACAGAAUAUUUAUCUUCACAAAAUGUGAUUGGUAUCUUUACUGUCAUCUGUAUCACAUUGCCUUAACUUGAAACAAUUGGAACUGGAUUAUAGAUCUCCAGCUGAUAUAUGCAGAAUUUGACAUGCCUCCAAUCUCCCCAAACAGAAAAGUCAUCUUCUCUCUCAGAACUUUGCCAUUCAGUUGUCAUGUUGAAACAUCACCCAGGACAGAUUGGUAGUGGAAAGCCUGCAUGUAUGCCUUAAGCUACUCUAUACUAAUGUUUUAAAGUUAGAAAAAGAAUAAAGUACCUAAUGUUUUUAUCCAUUGUACGUUUCCUGUCAACACUCCCAAGUUAAUAAAUAUGAUCUGCAUAUUAUGCCAUUAA